rnacentral:rRNA from 1 species
UUGGCGMGGUGCMUUCMGAGUUCCCUGGAACGKGAMGCCUUAGAGGGUGAGAGCCCCGUACGGUUGGACACCAAGCCUCUGUAAAGCUCCUUCGACGAGUCGAGUAGUUUGGGAAUGCUGCUCUAAAUGGGAGGUAAAUUUCUUCUAAAGCUAAAUACCGGCCAGAGACCGAUAGCGCACAAGUAGAGUGAUCGAAAGAUGAAAAGCACUUUGAAAAGAGGGUUAAAUAGCACGUGAAAUUGUUGAAAGGGAAGCGUUUACGGCCAGACCUUUUCCUGGCGGAUCAUCUGGUGUUCUCACCAGUGCACUUCGCCAGGUUUAGGCCAGCAUCGGCUUCUGUAGGGGGAUAAAAGCAGUGGGAAAGUAGYUCCCUCGGGAGUGUUAUAGCCCUAAGCAUAA